AGCAUCUUGUCGGAGUGCUUAGCGCCUAAUUUAUACAAUACAAUUAGCUAAGCUGAGACCGUUCAUUCGGGAUCCGUGGAACCUGAUCGGGUUAGCACCUGCGAAGGGAACAAGAGUAAUCUAUUA
rnacentral:ncRNA from 2 species